CUGCGCUUUAACUAGUCCCCAAAGUGCUUUACACAUUCAGUCAUCCACCCAUUCACACACUGGUGAUGGCAAGCUACAUAUACGAAUAUCAAAUAUAUGUGACAGGCAAAAACUAGUAAACACUUUUAGCAGUUAGAACAACUAAUACUUGAAUGCAGAAUGUUACACCAUCACUUAUGGAUAUAUUAGUUUUUCGCCUCUCACUGCUUAAGCCAUUAAUCUUUCUGGAAUUGUUCUUUGAAACAGUUGCGACCUCACAAAAGAUGUUAACUAUGCUGUCAGACUGGACCAGAGCAGUUAACGAACUCUGUGAGGAGGUCAGAGCCAUCCGCAAUACCGGCUCCAAUGAAUCUGUAGAUGCUGGAGUACUGCCUCUGGAUUUGCCCUUGCACAACAUUGAGGAGCUAAACAAUGCAGAGGCAGCUCUUCAAUCACAAGAGGCAAAUAAGGCAAUGGUGAGAUGCGUUGCCUUGAUUGGAGGGACCACACUAGAGGUGCAAGUCCGCCGUGUAAUGGCUUAUGCCAUUACAAACGUGCUGGCCUCAGUACUAAACUGGGCAGGGAAAAAACCAAGGAUCAGACAGAGCAAAAAAGGGCAUUUAAAGAUACAGCGCUGUGCAGAUGCAUAUUUGAUGGCCUGACGCAGCAGUUAGGGGCGAACUCUAUGUCCGAGUUUGUCUUUGCACAAGCAGUCCAGAAAUGGCUCCGAUACGCCCCAGAUCGUAUGGGUGGCGCAGGACGCACAUCAUCCAUCCCCCCAUCCUGGAGUAAAAACUACAAACUUAUGUGAAACAUAUAAAUGUAAAUAGGAAAAUGUCUUUUAAUAAAGUAUUUAGCAAACGAAACAUGCCUAUUG